AGGCCCGGGGCCCGGCCCGCGCUCAGCCUCGGGGGGGACAUCUUCCUCGAAGACGUCGUCGUCACCUACGUCGUCGUCGUACACGUCACCGCCGUCGCCCAGGCCCUCGGAGCAGUAGGAGGCGCUGUGACGCAGUUGCAGCAGCGGACUGCUGGAGCCGCGGGCGGCCUGGCGGGGUCGCUGUGGCGGGCGGGCAGCGCGCUCCGAGAUCCUCUGCAGCGCCCCGUAGCUCAAAUGGCGGGAAGAGGAGAAGGUCGCCGUCGUGGACGACGACGAGAGGAAGAGACGACCUUUUCUGUAUUCUCAGAUCCACACUGUGAGGCGAGCUCACUCCACGAGGCAUGACCCAAACCUUCAUCAAUUUCAGUGCCCAACUCAACCAUUACCUCAGACCAGGAGGUGUUUUUGAGUGAAGGAUGGAGUUACCUGCAGAUGUCCUGGUUUGAAGGGCUGACCGAUAUCCGUGAGAAGGUGCGAGGCGCUGUCACCGAUGUCGGGCUGCCCAGCUGCCGACAACCAAAGAAGUCACAUUAGUAAACUACCGCAAGAACAUUCAACCGGGGCAACCCUGUCCAGCAAAAACCAGGAGCACCGUCUCACCCGCCUAUUUCGACACUCAAGAACAUCUGCCUCGAAUUGAUUCCGCCGAGCACCACUUUGAUCCAGUUUAUGGAUCCGAAACCUGAAGCACUACAGCAAGGAACUACGAAAGUGCCUCAUGGACACCAACAUCAUCAGCACCCAAGUGACACUGGCACCACAUCACUCUGCUUGAUGUCAUUGGCAAGGUUGCCAGGGGCUGGGAGAGCCUGAAGCUGCGACGAUAUCCAACUGUUUCCGCAAGGCUGCUCCCUGCACUGAGGCUGAUGAGACGCCAAGCACGGAGGUCGAUGGUGAGAGCCAGAUCACUGACGAGUUCCUGGACGUCAACAUUGAUCUGCUCUGCCAUGCUCCAGAGGAUAACAAAGGCAGUGUCAUUGAAGCUGUGGCCUCCGAGUGCCCGCAAGACAGCCUCCGAUGACAAUGAUGCCCCGGCCUUAACAGCGAGCACAGCACUGUCUGGUCCACGAGGUGCAGAACGCUUUUUGUUAAACGGACUUCAUGAAAAGUGUAACACAUUUCCAGAAAUUGUUGCGAGCAUUAGAAAGAUACGUUAUGCUAAUCUUGUGCAGUCUGAUAUAAGAUUUUUUUAAAAUAAAAGGUUUAAAUUUGUGUAACUUA